rnacentral:rRNA from 1 species
UUAUGGUUGUAAAGCACUUUAAGCGAGGAGGAGGCUACUAGUAUUAAUACUACGGGAUAGUGGACGUUACUCGCAGAAUAAGCACCGGCUAACUCUGUGCCAGCAGCCGCGGUAAUACAGAGGGUGCGAGCGUUAAUCGGAUUUACUGGGCGUAAAGCGUGCGUAGGCGGCCAUUUAAGUCAAAUGUGAAAUCCCCGAGCUUAACUUGGGAAUUGCAUUCGAUACUGGAUGGCUAGAGUAUGGGAGAGGAUGGUAGAAUUCCAGGUGUAGCGGUGAAAUGCGUAGAGAUCUGGAGGAAUACCGAUGGCGAAGGCAGCCAUCUGGCCUAAUACUGACGCUGAGGUACGAAAGCAUGGGGAGCAAACAGGAUUAGAUACCCUGGUAGUCCAUGCCGUAAACGAUGUCUACUAGCCGUUGGGGCCUUUGAGGCUUUAGUGGCGCAGCUAACGCGAUAAGUAGACCGCCUGGGGAGUACGGUCGCAAGACUAAAACUCAAAUGAAUUGACGGGGGCCCGCACAAGCGGUGGAGCAUGUGGUUUAAUUCGAUGCAACGCGAAGAACCUUACCUGGCCUUGACAUACUAGAAACUUUCCAGAGAUGGAUUGGUGCCUUCGGGAAUCUAGAUACAGGUGCUGCAUGGCUGUCGUCAGCUCGUGUCGUGAGAUGUUGGGUUAAGUCCCGCAACGAGCGCAACCCUUUUCCUUACUUGCCAGCAUUUCGGAUGGGAACUUUAAGGAUACUGCCAGUGACAAACUGGAGGAAGGCGGGGACGACGUCAAGUCAUCAUGGCCCUUACGGCCAGGGCUACACACGUGCUACAAUGGUCGGUACAAAGGGUUGCUACCUAGCGAUAGGAUGCUAAUCUCAAAAAGCCGAUCGUAGUCCGGAUUGGAGUCUGCAACUCGACUCCAUGAAGUCGGAAUCGCUAGUAAUCGCGGAUCAGAAUGCCGCGGUGAAUACGUUCCCGGGCCUUGUACACACCGCCCGUCACACCAUGGGAGUUUGUUGCACCAGAAGUAGGUAG